rnacentral:rRNA from 1 species
GAUGAACGCUGGCGGCGUGCCUAAUACAUGCAAGUCGAGCGAACAGAUGAGGAGCUUGCUCCUCUGACGUUAGCGGCGGACGGGUGAGUAACACGUGGAUAACCUACCUAUAAGACUGGGAUAACUUCGGGAAACCGGAGCUAAUACCGGAUAAUAUAUUGAACCGCAUGGUUCAAUAGUGAAAGACGGUUUUGCUGUCACUUAUAGAUGGAUCCGCGCCGCAUUAGCUAGUUGGUAAGGUAACGGCUUACCAAGGCAACGAUGCGUAGCCGACCUGAGAGGGUGAUCGGCCACACUGGAACUGAGACACGGUCCAGACUCCUUCGGGAGGCAGCAGUAGGGAAACUUCCGCAAUGGGCGAAAGCCUGACGGAGCAACGCCGCGUGAGUGAUGAAGGUCUUCGGAUCGUAAAACUCUGUUAUUAGGGAAGAACAAAUGUGUAAGUAACUAUGCACGUCUUGACGGUACCUAAUCAGAAAGCCACGGCUAACUACGUG